rnacentral:lncRNA from 1 species
UUUCUGUAUAUUGCUUUAGUGUAUGAAAAGAGCAGCAAAUGAAGGUCCUGAUAAUUUGAUGCCAAACUGCUAGAAAAGAGCCACUCCAAUGGGUUUUCUAUGCCUGCCCUUGAAUCACCUACAACACCAAGGAAACAGGUUCAAUCCAAAAGAGAAGGAACAAAGAAGAUUACAUUCUAUGAAGAGAAACAUCAUAAAGAAGGAAAAUAAGAAAAAAUACUUGUCUACCAUACGUGGUAUUUGUAGAAAAUUCACAAAAUUGAUAAGUUGAAACCCACAAGUGACAAAGUAAUUACUUUAGAAACUAGAAAUCACAACAUAAGUAGCAUCGAAACCAACAAUCUUCUCUAUAAACAGCACAAAGGAAAACCAAUAGAAACGCAAAAUUGAACAAACCAAUGGCAAUUUUGAAUAGUUCAAUGACCAAAACAAAAAUUUACUAAUAAUUUUAUGACUUUGAAUGCAGUUUACCUUUUAUUUAUUUAGGCUAAAUCAAUAUUUAAGACUUAAAAGUAAUAAAAGGUAGUACAUACGCAAGUUGACUAUGGACCGACAAGCCAGCUUCUAUUCAGUUUUGAGUAAAAUCUAAGUCGUUUGCAGAAAUGUAGAGCUGAUCUAGGUUCAAGGCCAGCACUUGAUGAUCUUAAUGCAAUAUAUUAUAAUCAAUAUUCUAUUUUUUUUUACAAUUUAAUAUUUAUCAUAAAUCAUCAUCACCAUAAAAAAAUUUCGUCGUCUUCAAUCAUAUAUAAAUGUAUUAGUAUCGAAACUUAAAUCAUUGCAUCUACACUCUAAAAAUUUAUGUCUGCACAAGUAUACUCACACUCAAGUUCGAGAACAUAGUCAACAGUAUCAUAUAGAGAGAUAUAGAAGUAUUUACUAACCAGAGACCCAGCGAGGAAAGCUGUGGGAUUUCUUACUCCGAGUGAAAAUCGCUCUACUGCAGAUCAAAAAACAGGACCACUAGAAAACGUAAAUUUUAAUUCCACAAACAUGUACAUUAAAACUUCAAACAUAAUUCAAGAAAUUUGUCUAAUAUGAUUAAAAAUAUUCUAAAAUGUUAAAAAUAUAUAUGUUCGAUACGGGUAUAUCCAGAUUUUCUUAAAGCUUCUUUAUGUAUUUUAGGUAUCUUUAAAGAGACUAUCUCUAUAUGACUAUAUCCAUAGCCGGAUAUAUGUCAGACAUGAAUAUCAUAUCAAAUAGCACUUCACAAUAUGCAAAAAAAAAAAAAGAGAGCAGAGUAAAGAAGCUCUUGUAACUCACUGAAGCCUAUGAGAUUGCCAUAUUUUUGAACAGCGCAUUGCGAAACCUUUUCUUCGCCGAUUCCUAACUGUAGUCAUCAUCAACAUUGAGAAAAGAUAUACAUGAUUAUUGUGCAAAUGCAGGAAAAGUACGUGCUCAGAAUAGAUGCAUAUAAAAUCAUGUCUAUAUAAAACUUGUUUCAGAAUAAAAAAAUUAUGUAUAUAUAACAUUUGCAAAAAAUCCAUUGAAGUAAGAGAAAAUCAAGUAGUAACUUUUCAAUCUAUAUGGGAGAGUAACUUUCCCACCUUUUAUCAUGGGAAUCACAUUUUCAUAUUUAUAAGAAAAUAACUUACAAGGAAAAAUUAAAUUCCAAGAAAAGUAAAUAAAAUUUGACAUAUUAAAUGUUGAAACCACUUUUCAACUAAUUAAAUUUCCAAGAAUGUGACCAUUUUCGAUCGCACCGAAGGCUACCUUAAAUAAUCAAUUUAGAUUUAAGGGAUUAAUCAUAUUAAGCUGUAACAUUUGAAAAUUAAUAGGGAUCAAGAACAUAAAUAAUAAACUAUUUAAUUAAGAGAGGUGAAUAACAAUUAAGUUAUAAUAAGUAACAAAAAGUUAAAUAGUUGGCGUAAAAUUAGUUACAGAAUGAAAAUAAUAAUAAAAUAUUUAAUUAACGCAAACCAUAUGGAAGAUAAUAGAAUGGUGCACCAAUGUUUUAUAUAUAAUCAUGCACACAUGAAGUCAUAUAAAGAGACAUUUGUCACAAAAUUAGAGAGUUCCUAGUCCCCAUUUAGUGGGGUUUGAACAUACUUUUAAAGACGCGGUUGUAGAGUAGCUGUAGUAUCCAAUGUUUGAUAAUUGCUUUGAAAGAAACAAGGAAGCAGACUUUGUAGGUAGACUCAUUCAACAACUAUUACUGUUACUAAGAUCUCAUGUUAGUAUGUAAAAUGAGAAAACAUUGCUUUACUGAUCAAAAUAAGGCUCUUAGAGGAGAUACAACAAACACAUGGAGGACUCCUUUAUUUUUUUGGACUUUACUUGCCUUUCCUUUUAUUCAAAAACUGGGAAACUAAAGGGAAAAAAGUAGCAGCAGAAAAUGUUGAAUUUGUUUACCCUACAUGGAUCCACUGACCAUUACUAAAUCAAGUCAAUUGCAGCAUUAAGCCCCUAAUCUUUUUGGAGGCUACUACUUUCUUACUAAUUUUACUCUUUCUCUUGUUUUCAGCUGCCAAAGCACAUGCUCAUCCAUUAAAUUAACCAACGUUUUGUUUUGUUUUAUCAGUCUAAUUGUUGUUUUAGUCCAAGCUUUAUUGUUAUUUAGCAGGUUACUCACACACAUAUAAGCACAUGCAGCAGUCUCCUAAGCAAUAUUUAUGCCCUCAACAAUGGGGUUGGAUGAUAUAACAAGAAAAGUAAUUAAUGACAUAUCAAGAAAACUGAACCUUCAUUUACCUAUAGUUGCGGCAGUGGAGAGCGACGAUGACGCAGCAGUGAGGACGGCGGACGGCGACGAGUAGGUGGUCGGGUAGCCUCAGGAGCUUCGGAUGCUUAGGGAUUUUGGGGAAAAUUUAGGGAUCAAGGGAAAUGUAGUGAAUUGGGGAAAAUCUAUUAAAGG